GUGGGGAAUAUUGGACAAUGGGCGAAAGCCUGAUCCAGCCAUGCCGCGUGUGUGAAGAAGGUCUUCGGAUUGUAAAGCACUUUAAGUUGGGAGGAAGGGCAGUAAGUUAAUACCUUGCUGUUUUGACGUUACCGACAGAAUAAGCACCGGCUAACUUCGUGCCAGCAGCCGCGGUAAUACGAAGGGUGCAAGCGUUAAUCGGAAUUACUGGGCGUAAAGCGCGCGUAGGUGGUUUUGUAAGUUGGAGGUGAAAUCCCCGGGCUCAACCUGGGAACUGCCUCCAAAACUGCAUGACUAGAGUACGGUAGAGGGUAGUGGAAGUUCCUGUGUAGCGGUGAAAUGCGUAGAUAUAGGAAGGAACACCAGUGGCGAAGGCGACUACCUGGACUGAUACUGACACUGAGGUGCGAAAGCGUGGGGAGCAAACAGGAUUAGAAACCCCUGUAGUCC
rnacentral:rRNA from 1 species